GACCAGCCAAUCUUUCUUUUCCUUUUAUGGGGCUCUACUCAUUUUUCCUUCAGUGGCCGUAAAUUCAUAAUUCUUUUCUUUUCCUUUUAUGGGGCUCUACUCAUUUUUCCUUUUCUAAAUUUUUUUUUUUUGGGGAGUUGGAAUGCUGCAGUAUGGAGUCUGACCUAUUCAAAUUUGGAGGAUUCGUUAGUAAUAGCAAACUGAAUCUUGUAGCCAGUAGUAGCAACCCGUAAACUUCUUUUUUUUUUUUUUUUUUUGUCAUUGGAUGAUGCUAAGGCUAGCAGGUUAGUUUACUUUUCUCAGUCGGAUGUUGUAAUUGUAGAUUGAAUUAUCAUUCAAUAUAAUUGCGAGUUGAAUUUUCUGUAACAGGUUCCGGAAAUAUGGGUGAAGCCAAACAGUGAUAACUACUAUCAAUGCAUUGGUCGGCCGAGGAAUCGAAUAAGUAAAGUCCGGCUUUAUAUUUUGAUAGCAUGUGCCCUGCAAAACAGCAAGUUAUAAGUUAUUACUAAAUCUUUCAGGGACGGGAUCGGAAACAAAUGGCUAUAUUCUAGCUCAUGCUAAUGGAGGGCUAAAUCAAAUGCGAACAGGAGUGAGUCGAUAGUCAUUCGAUCUUAAUGUGUUCUCAAUGUUAAUUUUAGCUUAUGCAAAAUGAUGAAUAUUUGAUGUAAACGCAGAUAUGUGACAUGGUUGCAAUAGCAAAAAUUAUGAAUGCUACUUUGGUUCUUCCUUCUCUUGAUCACAAGUCAUUCUGGACAGAUCCCAGGUAUAUAUUUAAAGAUACAUAUAACGUUUUUCAUCACAAGCAAUUUUUGUUUGAGCCCGGUACAUUUCUUUGCUUUAUUGAACAUUUUCCUGUUCUUUUCUUGCAGUGAUUUUAAAGAUAUUUUUGAUUGGAAGCAUUUCAUUGGCACAUUAAGAGACGAUAUUGAGAUAGUAGAUUCUUUGCCACCCCAUUUGGCAUCAUCAGUUAAGCCCCUUCCUAAGGCACCUGUUUCUUGGUCCAAGGUAGGGAACCAACAAUCAUUGAAAUCUCUGCAAGUUCUGGUCCAGAUUUCUUAAAGGAAAAAAAAAAAAUUUUGUUUUGCAGCCUAGUUACUACAGAGGAGAAAUUCUUUCCUUGCUAAAGAAACACAAGGUAAUCAAAUUCACCCACACGGAUUCACGUCUUGCCAACAACGGCCUUGCGCCUUCCAUUCAGAGGCUUCGGUGUCGGGCAAAUUACGUGGCUCUCAGAUACACAAAAGAGAUUGAGGAGCUUGGGAGAAAAUUGGUUGAUAGAAUUAGAAGUGAUGGCGAACCAUUUAUUGCGCUUCAUCUGAGGCAAGUAUUUUCACAAAUCUGUGUGUGAUAACUUAAGCUUCCCAAAAAAUUUCGGCUUUUUAGUUAGUUACCAAGAGGAAUAAUGUGGAGCGCAGGUACGAGAAAGACAUGCUUGCAUUCACCGGUUGCAGCCACAAUUUGAGUAGAGAGGAGGUUGAGGAGCUUCGGCGCAUGAGGUACGAUGUGAAGCACUGGAAAGAGAAAGAGAUAGACGGCGAAGAAAAGCGACUCCAAGGAGGCUGCCCAAUGUCUCCGAGGGAGGCGGGUCUCUUUCUCAAGGCCAUGGGUUAUCCAUCAACCACAAGAAUAUACAUAGUUGCAGGAGAAAUCUAUGGGAAUAAUAGUAUGGAUGCAUUCCGGGCAGAGUACACAAACGUUUUCUCGCACUCCACUCUUGCAACAGAGGAAGAGUUGGAGGAACUAAAACACUAUCAGAAUCGUCUUGCUGCUCUGGAUUACGUUAUAGCUCUUCAAAGUGACGUCUUUGUUUACACAUACGAUGGGAACAUGGCAAAGGCUGUACAGGGCCAUAGAAGGUUUGAUGGGUUUCGAAAGACGAUAAAUCCUGACAGGUUUGUCAAUACUGCUGGCUAUUUUGUACUUCACGUUCAGCGCCUUUUUGUUUUUUUUUGGGCGUUACUAAAUCUUCUCAGCAUUCUGCUUCUUUUCAGAUUCAAUUUAGUUAGGCUAAUGGAUAUGUUGGAUGUGGGCACGUUAUCAUGGGAACAGUUUGCCUCGGAAGUCAAGAGUUUACAUGAGAACAGGCUUGGAGCACCAUAUAUUAGACAGGCGGGAGAAUCACCAAGAUUAGAGGAGAACUUAUAUUCUAAUCCGUUUCCUGGAUGUAUUUGUAAUGUAUCUCGAGAACAAGAAAGAAGCCAACAUCAUCACCGAAAAUUUAUUACUAGUUCAAGAAUAGCAUCACAGAGAUAGGGCUCAUAGUUGUUUUUGAGUGUAAAUAAUAAUUUCAAUCGUAGAGCAUAAGAUAUAAAACAGAGAGUGGUGGGCUGUGCAAGAAGUAGCAGCAAUGCGAUUCGGGCCCUUCAUGAUUCAAUUUUGGAGGAUACGGUAGAGGGAGAAAUUCCUUUUUUUUUUUUUGGAUCCCAUUAUGAGAGGCACUGUAAAAUACGGAGUACAGAUAUUCUUUCAUUUAUUGAUUUUGUCCUUGUUUUGGCCUUGUCAACUCAAUUUUUUAGUUACACGUUUACUGUCAUAAAUACGUUCCUGGUCACAAUAAAGAAAAUCUGCUACAGAAAACUCAUCAUCCUCCGACUCCAAGAAAUAUAACCCGAGAAUCCAUAAGAAACGGAUUAUAACUAAUGCAAGUCCAUCAGUUUUGGACCAAAACUUGGGGUUCUGCAGUCAAUACCAGAAAAUUGCAAUAUACAACAAUAACAGAGGGAGGAAUGAACGGAAAAGCAAAUUAUACACCCACAUACCCUAAGAACUGCAACAACGGGGAGAUUUGAUGAUGAAGCGUAAAGAAUUAUUGCAGGCAAAGAAGAUGGUCGUUGUUAAAUGUCUAAUAGUAUAAGGAAAAUCCUAACACCAGUCUUAUCACUUCUGGACCAGAAGCUUGGUUUAGCAGUCGAUACCAGAAGUUGCAAUAGGAACAAAUUCUGCUUUAGGAUCACAUCAAUGGACCAACAAGUGAGAUCCAUGUAUUUGUAUAAACUUCGCCCACAAUGUCAUUUGAUACUUGAGUCAAUUACCAAAAGAAAGAACCACGGCAUCAUUUCAAUGGUCCUUUAAAAAUCUAGGUGUUGGACAAAGUGGUCCGAUAGAAACAACAAAUCUAACUAGUGGACUCUCACAGACCGAAUUCUUGGUGUUUCUAACUCCAGAUUACAGCAAGAUCUAAUAGAAAGAAACUAGAGUAUUUUGCUCGUUGACAUGACUACUGCCGAUUUUACCACAUUGAUGGCACAUAAACCUGCUCUUUCAGAUUCUGAGUAGCACUUUCUGUGGGAAAACCGCGUACAGCUCCUAUAGUCCACUGUGAUAUUAUACCAGCAGCAAUAGCAAAACGAAGCUGCCUCUCCAAAAUAUCCUGAUUUUCAAACAUCUCGGAUACAGUUGUUAGCUUUCUCAUAAUUGCAGCCACAACAGCAUCACCAGAACCUGUUCUAUCACAAGUGAAUGGUGUUAUUAGCACAUCUUCUGUGCCAACCACAACCCCAUCAAAAGAAGGAGCAUAGUAAUGUAUCCGAAGUGUUCCGUCUGUGACAAACAAAAGCUUCAACCCAUCAUGCCAUAAUGGAGAGAUUUCUUCGCGAGUAUAAUGAUAAUAAUCUCGCAGUUUACUUGUUUGUUCAAAAUUCUCAGCAUAGUACUGAGGCGUAUAAUUUCUUCUCCUCUCAUAAUGUUCUUCAUCUAAAAGAAACUCGAGCUCUUGCUUUGAGACCUCAAUGAUAUCUGCUUGUUCCCAGGCUUUCUUGAGCACUUCCCUGGUCAUAUCACGUGACUCCCAUAGUGGCAAUGGGAAAUUUGGGUCAAAAAAAACCAAUGCACCGAACUUUUUAGACCAUGAAAUUGCUCUAAAAAGAGCAGAAUGCAUGGAAGGACAAGUUAAGACUUCAGAAUUAAAAUGGAACAUUCUAGCCUGAAAAAAAAACAAGAAGAAAAACUAGCAUCAAUAUUAGUCACUAAACUUUUUUUUCUCUUAAAACUUUGUUCUAGUUCAUUAAUUGUUUCAAUCAAAUUCACCUCAUAAUUCAUAAACACUUUCUAACCAUAAUAAACAAAUUCAGUAUUAAAAGUGUAUUCCCAGUGCCCAAAGUUUGACUACUUCAAGACAAAUCGUCUGGGAUCAAGAAUACAGCAGUCAGAAGAGAGAAGAACCUUCUCUAAAUCAGUGGUAACGAUAAGAGCACGGACAGAAAUAGUUCAAAAUCAACACACUAAUGGAUCUUAUCCCUGCGUGCAGAUUUCACUAGCCACUCCAAGUUGACCUCUCUAUCACAUAAUCUGUUAGCAGAAUUCGUAAGAGUAUGGACAUAAUUAGAUUUAUCCCAGAAUUGCCCAUUCUAAAACUUGAUCUGCACGAGGAUAUAAUGGUUACUUCAAAUUAGAAAAACUAUCCGGGUAGGGCAGAGAUUGUCCUCUGUUUCAUAGAAUCUCCAAUCUAAUAGCCAAAUGUACAUAAGUACAUCCAUUUUCCUCUGUGCAGACAACAGACCUUUGUUUAAAGGCAACAAUGCAAUAAGAUAACUAACAUUCUUAAUCCAGCAAAGCCAAGAUAAAGUAAAAAUAAGGCAACGGGGGUUGAAGCAUCCUGUACUGGGACAGCGCCUAAUCAACUAAUGAAGAACAUAAUUGAUUAAGUAACUAGUAAACCAUAAAUCGACAAUUAAUAAAGUAAAAAAUUCCUUCAUUGCUAUGUUGUAUAUAGGAGAAAAACAUCCUAACAUCCUCUUUUUUUUUUUGGUUGUUUAAAUUAUUCUUUUACCUCUUUGAGCACGGCAAGAUUCAGUUCGGAGCUUAGUAACGAAUCCUCUGCAGAUUCUUUCACCUUUUCCAUCCUCAUUUUGCCAUCAUUAUCGUGCUUAAUUUUCAUAUAGGCACAGGCAGUCCUCACAUUGCUGUCGAAUUUCACUGCCCUCGUCUGCACCUUCUCAGUAUUCAUAAGCAACACCAUCUCUCUUCCAAAUUCAUCAUCCCCAACCUUCCCCAUAAAAGCAGCCCUCCCACCAAGCCUGGCGUGAGAAACAGCCACAUUGGAAGGCGGUCCGCCAGGAGACCUAACAAACUCUGGAGGGUUCCACUGCAGCAUUUUCCAUUGAGAAUAGAUAUCCGGGUGCAUUUGCUCCGGUGCCACUCUUAUGGUGGGCACAAACUCCUUCUGGGCUGCCCCAAAACAGCAGAUUAGAGGCGGGUACUCGUACGGGAAAUCAAUACCAUCAUCAUAGUAAUCAAGCUCCUCCUGUUUAUCGGUUACAGGUACAUCAUUUUGGGUGUUCUGUGGUUGGCUUUUCCGAGGUCCUCUGGGUCUUUUUGUCGUCGAGGUUGCGGAAGACGAAGUGGUGGUGGUGGACCGAGCUUUUUUGCGGCCUCGGCGGGAAGGCUUUGGCGGUUCUGCGGUGGUUGGAUCGUCAUCUGAAGAUGAUUUGGGUGGCAAGAGUUUGUGAAAAGUUCUAGCUUCAGGAAUGGGGACCAGCCAAAUGGUAGAAAUUUGGAAAUGGGCUAGUGAGUUUGAGGCAAAUGAAUGAGAGUUUGGGAGAAAAGAUGGUGUACGAAAUGGAAGGGUUGCCAUGGUUCGGACUUGCAGUUUAGGGUUUAUCCAUUUGCGAUUCUACAAAUUUUCCUAACUAUCUUACCCAACAAAAAAAAAAAAAAAAAGGGGAAAAAGGGCUAACUAUUUUAAAGGGGUUUGUUGUUUCAAUUCUGGCGCUACUUCUGCUUGGUCAUCAUCCACCGAACCGGUUCAGAAUGAACUAUUUAACGGGCCAAGUUGACCAUCCUGGUGGUGUUCUCAUAUCAUAUGAAAAGACUAAUUUACCUUUACAUUUCGUUUCAUGGAGUAAUAUAUAUAUAUUUUUGGUUAUCUUUUUUGGUCUUUACUGCAAUACAAAAAAUCGCAUAAUAUAGCAAAUCAAGCUGGAGUUGAUCUUAGAAAUAGCAAUGAAUCAUAUACCAAAUCAAAUUUUUUUUUUUGUCAAAUGAUAUACCAGUUCAAUUCGGCAUAGCUAUUUUUUGCAUUUUUACAGAGUGAAAGAAUCGACAAAUGUUAGGUCAAGAUUGGAAAAAGCACGCCUCAAUUUAAAGAAAAAUUUGCCUAAUUUGUUUACAUUGAAAUUUUAAUGGUACUUUAUCCAUUUCUAUGAACGUUGAGGUGUGAUUUUUGUGAACACCUAUAAUCCAAUUAUCAUUCUUGUAAUUAAAAUAACAACCCUAAAAGAGGCGCAAACCUUAAAAAGUACGUACGGAUGCGUUGUGCAUCCGUUUGAUCCGGUGAUGAUUCAAUCUCCUUUAGUUAUCCUUGGACCUGUUCAGGUCCCCUCCCUCUAAUAUAGAAUAGUAUAGUAUAGGUCUAAUAUAGAAUAGUGUAGCGUAGGUCUGUCAUAUCCAAAAAAAAAAAUUAAAAAAUUAAAAGGAGCCGUAGACUGAACCGUACUCCGGGCCUCUUUAGGGUAAGGUUAAACUGACGGACACAGGUUAACUUGCAAGAUAAAGAAUUUUAAGUAUACAGCAGGUUAUCUUUCUUGGCUCUGUGCCAUUACCAGUUUAUGGCAAAUAGCAGCUCGUGUCAUUUUGCAGCUUUCUUCUAAUCGAGCAAAAUUCCUGUCCCAGCCCUUUUCUCAACGAAGAAACUUGUACGUAUAUUAGAAUCCUUUUAUUCUCGACGACAUGUAUUGUAGUAGUUUAGUAACUAAUAAUAAUACCGCCAUACAAAACAUAAUAGUAGCAUGGACAUGGCAUGGAACCGAUCCGAUGGCAUUAGAUUUUGUGAAUGUAGUUACCAUUUCCAUUGCUGCUUUUCAUACAACUGAUGAUCAAGAAAAAGGCAAAUGCAGCUAAUACAACAGCUUCACAUAAUUUUGAAUUUUGAUGAUAUCCUCAUUAUAACAUAAAAAAUAAAGACUACUACUAGCGGUACUUUAACACACUGAAAGUACUACACAGAGCCAGAUUACUUUUCAGUUAUGCUACCACCACGGAAACUAGUACUAGUAGAUGAAUUUGCCU
rnacentral:lncRNA from 1 species